rnacentral:rRNA from 1 species
AAAGCGAGCGGCGGAUGGGUGAGUAACACGUGGGGAACCUGCCCCUAAGUCUGGGAUACCAUUUGGAAACAGGUGCUAAUACCGGAUAAUAAAGCAGAUCGCAUGAUCAGCUUUUGAAAGGCGGCGUAAGCUGUCGCUAAGGGAUGGCCCCGCGGUGCAUUAGCUAGUUGGUAAGGUAACGGCUUACCAAGGCGACGAUGCAUAGCCGAGUUGAGAGACUGAUCGGCCACAUUGGGACUGAGACACGGCCCAAACUCCUACGGGAGGCAGCAGUAGGGAAUCUUCCACAAUGGACGCAAGUCUGAUGGAGCAACGCCGCGUGAGUGAAGAAGGUUUUCGGAUCGUAAAGCUCUGUUGUUGGUGAAGAAGGAUAGAGGUAGUAACUGGCCUUUAUUUGACGGUAAUCAACCAGAAAGUCACGGCUAACUACGUGCCAGCAGCCGCGGUAAUACGUAGGUGGCAAGCGUUGUCCGGAUUUAUUGGGCGUAAAGCGAGCGCAGGCGGAAAAAUAAGUCUAAUGUGAAAGCCCUCGGCUUAACCGAGGAACUGCAUCGGAAACUGUUUUUCUUGAGUGCAGAAGAGGAGAGUGGAACUCCAUGUGUAGCGGUGGAAUGCGUAGAUAUAUGGAAGAACACCAGUGGCGAAGGCGGCUCUCUGGUCUGCAACUGACGCUGAGGCUCGAAAGCAUGGUAGCGAACAGGAUUAGAUACCCUGGUAGUCCAUGCCGUAAACGAUGAGUGCUAAGUGUUGGGAGGUUUCCGCCUCUCAGUGCUGCAGCUAACGCAUUAAGCACUCC